CAACUUUCAACAACGGAUCUCUUGGCUCUCGCAUCGAUGAAGAACGCAGCAAAAUGCUAUACAUAGUGUGAAUUGCAAAAUUCAGUGAAUCAUCAAAUCUUUGAACGCACCUUGCGCCCCUUGGUAUUCCGAGGGGCACACCCGUUUGAGUGCCGUG
rnacentral:rRNA from 1 species